rnacentral:rRNA from 1 species
GUGUCAGCAGCCGCGGUAAUACGUACCGUCCAAACGUUAUUCGGAAUCACUGGGCUUAAAGAGUUCGUAGGCGGCCCAGAAAGUUGGGUGUGAAAUCCCUCGGCUCAACCGAGGAAUUGCGCUCAAAACUACUGGGCUAGAGGGAGAUAGAGGUGAGCGGAACUGAUGGUGGAGCGGUGAAAUGCGUUGAUAUCAUCAGGAACACCGGAGGCGAAGGCGGCUCACUGGGUCUUUCCUGACGCUGAGGAACGAAAGCUAGGGGAGCGAACGGGAUUAGAUACCCGAGUAGUCC